AAGUCGUAACAAGGUUUCCGUAGGUGAACCUGCGGAAGGAUCAUUAACACGUAUCCAACGUUAAACAACCCUGUGAACUUUAAGUCCCCUCUUGCAGCCCAUGAGGAACAGCAAUCCCGGUAAAUCAUUGCCAAACAGUUUUGAUUCGGGACCUCUGUCCAAAAGGAGUUGCAAGUGAAUGACAGUGUCACUGACUGUGUAAGGAUAACGCCUCACGGUUGCUAGAGGUCGAUCACCGACCGGCAGACAUGUCACAGGGUCACCACGCCCCUUAAUCACUCCACUUGAAAAUGCCCCGCCUAGUGGUAACGCGCUAGGUAAAAAAAACCGAACAACUGUUAACAAUGGAUAUCUUGGUUCUC
rnacentral:misc_RNA from 1 species